GUUAAUAAUGUUUAGUCGUUUUAACCUUUCAACCUUGUCUGAGGCACUAGAUCUGUAAGAUGUAUUGACGGAACCCCUUAAUUUGUUAUCCCUGAUGAUGGACAUGUAGGAUUAAUAUUUUUUAAAUAAAUUUAGUGGAAGAUGACCGAAGUAUAUUUAGUUACCCAUUGAUCUACUAACUCCACUGCAAGAAAGGACUACUUCUUCAACUUUAAAAUACAUUUUAUUGCUCAUCUCAAAUUAAUAAGUGGAACACGUGUCCGGUAUAUUGGUAGUCCUAGUGUCGCUACGCGGAUUACCUAGCUUGAGGAAAUACCCUAAUCUUUCCGCUUCUUAAUAAUUGUCAUUUCCGUGGUUUUGGUUCCCGUGUCUUGGUAGGAGCACACGUAAAAGUUUGUGGCGCAACCAAAGAAGAUGCAAGUCACCUCAAAUAUUGGUUAAUUUGGCUUUAAUGGAACCUCUUUUUCCUCAUCUUGACAUGAUUUGGUAAUUUCUUGGCAGGAUGUCCAAGAUUUGAUUAGAAAAUUAGCAAGGGUUUUCGUUUUCCGGUUUUCUUUUUUCCUUCUUCGAUUGCUUCGCCUUGAGGGUGUGAUGGUGUUGAAUUCUGUGACGCUCCACGAGUGACUCCAGAACAGCCUGGUUUCUCCACAAGGAGAAUCUAACCUCUAUCUGAGCAUGCAUAUCUCACAAUCGAGACAACCAGUUACCUUGGUGAAGCUCCCUGUAGCUGGAGACCAGGUGAAUUAUGACCAGUUUUUUAAUUUUUUUUUAAUUUUUUAAAUAAUUCUGUUUAAUUGAGAGUGACUAGUGGGAUUUGGACACAGGUCCGAAGCCCAUAUAACCUUGGGUUA